GAUGAACGCUGGCGGCAUGCCUAACACAUGCAAGUCGAACGAGAAUCUAUGGAAAGAGGAUUCGUCCAAUUGAAGUAGAGGACAGUGGCGAACGGGUGAGUAAUGCAUGAGCAACCUGCCCUUCAGAGGGGGACAACAGUUGGAAACGACUGCUAAUACCGCAUAACAUUUCCGGAAGGCAUCUUCUGGGAAUCAAAGAUUUAUCGCUGAAGGAUGGGCUCAUGUCUGAUUAGCUAGUUGGUGGGGUAACGGCCCACCAAGGCGACGAUCAGUAGCCGGUCUGAGAGGAUGAACGGCCACAUUGGGACUGAGAUACGGCCCAG
rnacentral:rRNA from 1 species